UUGGCGGGGUAACGGCCCACCAAGGCGACGAUGCGUAGCCGACCUGAGAGGGUGACCGGCCACACUGGGACUGAGACACGGCCCAGACUCCUACGGGAGGCAGCAGUAGGGAAUUUUCGGCAAUGGGGGAAACCCUGACCGAGCAACGCCGCGUGAAGGAAGAAGGUUUUCGGAUUGUAAACUUCUGUUAUAAAGGAAGAACGGCGGCUACAGGAAAUGGUAGCCGAGUGACGGUACUUUAUUAGAAAGCCACGGCUAACUAC
rnacentral:rRNA from 1 species